UUAUUGGAGAGUUUGAUUCUGGCUCAGAACGAACGCUGGCGGCGUGGAUUAGGCAUGCAAGUCGAACGAUGCCGCAAGGCAUAGUGGCAAAAGGGCGAGUAACACGUGGGUAACCUACCUCCGAAACCGGGAUAACUUUGCGAAAGCGAGGCUAAUACCGGAUAAGACCACGGUUCAUAAGGACUGUGGUAAAAGGAAGCCUCUAUUUAUAAGCUACCAUUUGGAGAGGGGCCUGCGUCCUAUCAGCUAGUUGGUGAGGUAACGGCUCACCAAGGCUUUUGACGGGUAGCUGGACUGAGAGGUUGGUCAGCCACAAUGCUACUGAGAUACGGAGCAUACAUCUACGGAUGGCAGCAACUGGGAAUAUUCGGCAAUGGGCGAAAGCCUGACCGAGCGACACCGCGUGAGGGAUGAAGUAUUUCGGUAUGUAAACCUCUUUUAUCCCCGCAUCGAGCGGGGGAGAAUAAGCACCUACAAACUACGUGCCAGCAGUCGCGGU
rnacentral:rRNA from 1 species